UACGUAGGGGGCUAGCGUUGUCCGGAAUCAUUGGGCGUAAAGCGCGUGUAGGCGGCUCGACAAGUCUGCUGUGAAAGUCCAGGGCUCAACCCUGGAAUGCCGGUGGAAACUGUCAAGCUAGAGUCCGGAAGAGGCGAGUGGAAUUCCUGGUGUAGCGGUGAAAUGCGCAGAUAUCAGGAGGAACACCAAUGGCGAAGGCAGCUCGCUGGGACGGUACUGACGCUGAGACGCGAAAGCGUGGGGAGCAAACAGG
rnacentral:rRNA from 1 species